AUGUUAUGUUAAUAAUAAAUGUCAAGUUGAGUUGACUACUGCCAACUUGUGCAGCAUCACGUGUAGCACGUUUUGCGUCUUGCGUCAUCAUGUAGUGGCUUACUGGCGCGCGUUCUUUCGGUCGGUGCAGAGUGAAAUGGAUGGAAAUUCGUGGAACAACACCACCAGAGACUGAUACCCAUCAUCGUAUUUUUACAAGAUUGAAGCAGAGUUUGCUCGCCUCACCACUGUUGACCUGAAAGGCUGUCUCUUUGCUGGCCUUGACAAGUCUGCAGAGGUUUAUUGAUCUCUACAGAGCCAAGUGUGGUGGAGCUGAAGAAGCUGUUGACAACACUGGAUAGUGAUUGUUCCAACCAAUGGAAAAGGACCAUCGUGCUGAUGGGGCUCCCCGACUACCUCAAAGAUGUUGCGUCCAACUUUUACAAGAAAGUUCAGGCCACAGUUGCUGAGGAGGACAUGACGAGAGGAAUGACUGUGGGCAUCCUCGUGGUGGCAGACGGGAAUGAUACUGUUGGUUUCGCUGUGGUCAUUGAGGAAGAAUUCAUCCUUCCGUCGCUCAGUGAUUUUCCAACGGCUGUGGCACUUCUGAUGGGUCUGCUCUAUGCACUGAACAUUGACUACCCCAAAGACACAAGGUACACAUUUGAAGUCAUUCAGAAGGUGCUCAUGGACAUUGGUGGAGGCCAUUGCACUGCGUUGGUUCAUGGCUUGAGAAACAGACUCUUGAGGAAAACCAUGUAAGCUUAAAGCAGAGUUUAAGCUUUGCCCAAAUGUGAACAAAAUGUGAACUUGAUUGAGAAAUGGACUCUUUGUUAUUUUUGUUAGACGUCUUAUACAUUGUGUACUGUUUGGGGGACACAAUAACACACACGGUAUGGAUUUAUUUGGGGGACACAGUAACACACGGUGUGGAUUUAUUUGGGGGACACAGUAACACACUCGGUGUGUUUAUUUUGGGGACAGGGUAACACACUCGUGUGUGUUCAUUUUGAAAGACAGUAAAACACACAGUAUGGAUUUAUUUGGGGGAAGGUAACACGAACUGGGGUUUUAUCCACAGUGUGUAUGUGAUCAAUCUUUUUUAUUCUUUGGUUAAUUGCUCUAUUAUUUGUAACUGGCUGCACGUUGUUUAAUGCCAAAACAUUUGUUUAAGAGGUCAUCAAAAUGGAAAAUUGCCUAGGAUGCAUUAAAUAAUGGACACUUAGUGAGAUGGUACAAAUGUUCCAUUUUUAUGACAUCAUGUGUUGGUACUGUUUUAAAGGAGUAGCUCACUCAAAAAUGACUUAUUUUCUAUCACUUACACACCUCAUGAAGCCUUCAAUUCAUUUAUUUUUUAUUUUUGUUGCAUUCCUUAUUGAGACAAAAAUGUGAGUCUUCACUCUUUAAUCAAAGUAUUGGCUCAAUAAUGCAAAAACGAACAAUCUUCAUGAAUUCAAGCCUUCAUGGGGUGUGUAACUGAUAGAAAAUAAGUAUUUGUUCCAAAAAGUAAUUGUAUUUACUCAUCUGUUUUUAUUAAAGAGGCUUGAGUUAGA